AUACGAAAGGUGCAAGCGUUGUUCGGAUUUACUGGGCGUAAAGAGAUCGUAGGUGGUUUAUUAAGUCGGAUGUGAAAUCCCGGGGCUCAACCCCGGAACUGCAUUCGAUACUGAUAGGCUAGAGUUUGGGAGGGGUAAGCGGAAUUCCGUGUGUAGCAGUGAAAUGCGUAGAUAUACGGAGGAACACCUGAGGCGAAGGCGGCUUACUGGACCAAUACUGACACUGAGGAUCGAAAGCGUGGGUAGCAAACAGGAUUAGAAACCCCGGUAGUCC
rnacentral:rRNA from 1 species